AAAUUACUGGAAAGAGACGCCACAAUACCUUUAGUCGAAUUGUGUAAAAUUAUGAUACAAUAAAUAUUAUAUUUAUUUUUUAUGAUACUUAGCAGUUUCCGAGAAAUACUCGUAUCAAGAACGUCUCGGAGCGUCCCUGUUUACCCUUCAUAGCGGCCUAGAGCGUCGCAGAAUUUUAGGGUAAGCGAAAUGAAAACUGACAAUCCAUCUCGAAUCUCUCAGAGAAAGUCGGAUUGGCAGCCGCUCCAAUUAGCUGUCUAUUUGUUUUAGUUCUUCAGACUGAGGCGGAAAAUUAUUGUAAGUAAAAUAGACAAAUCCG
rnacentral:misc_RNA from 1 species